GCAACCACCAAUCCCCCGUCGCCGCCGACACUCCCCAGCUGCGAUUUCUGCAGCGAGACGGCGGCUGUCGUGUACUGCCAGGCGGACUCCGCUCGCCUCUGCCUCCGCUGCGACCGCCACGUCCAUGCCGCCAACUCCGUCUCCUCCCGCCACCACCGCACCCUCCUCUGCGACGCCUGCCGGGCUGCCCCCGCCGCCAUCCUCUGCUGCUCCUCCUCCUCCGCCCACCGCGGCCUCCUCUGCUCUAACUGCGAUUUCGACGCACACCCAACCGGAUCCGAUCUCCACGAUCGCCGCCCCGUUGAUCCGUUCACCGCGUGCCCCUCGGUUCUCGAUCUGGCCGCGGUGCUUGGAGUUGGCUUUGACGAGAAGCCGGCUAGGGCUGGAGAGGAGAGCACCGGCGAUGAAGGCGGUUGGCCUUUUCCCGAUGAUAUGUGGGUGUGGGAGAUGACUCCGGUGCUCAGCUUGCAAGAUCUCAUCGUGCCAACUACUUCGCAGCAUAAUUUCCAAGCUAUGGG
rnacentral:misc_RNA from 1 species